rnacentral:rRNA from 1 species
UGGGGAAUUUUGGACAAUGGGGGCAACCCUGAUCCAGCAAUGCCGCGUGUGUGAAGAAGGCCUUCGGGUUGUAAAGCACUUUUGUCCGGAAAGAAAACGCCGUGGUUAAUACCCGUGGCGGAUGACGGUACCGGAAGAAUAAGCACCGGCUAACUACGUGCCAGCAGCCGCGGUAAUACGUAGGGUGCAAGCGUUAAUCGGAAUUACUGGGCGUAAAGCGUGCGCAGGCGGUCCGCUAAGACAGAUGUGAAAUCCCCGGGCUUAACCUGGGAACUGCAUUUGUGACUGGCGGGCUAGAGUAUGGCAGAGGGGGGUAGAAUUCCACGUGUAGCAGUGAAAUGCGUAGAGAUGUGGAGGAAUACCGAUGGCGAAGGCAGCCCCCUGGGCCAAUACUGACGCUCAUGCACGAAAGCGUGGGGGAGCAAACAGGAUUAGAUACCCUGGUAGUCCACGCCCUAAACGAUGUCAACUAGUUGUCGGGUCUUCAUUGACUUGGUAACGUAGCUAACGCGUGAAGUUGACCGCCUGGGGAGUACGGUCGCAAGAUU